rnacentral:rRNA from 1 species
AACGAACGCUGGCGGCAGGCCUAACACAUGCAAGUCGAGCGCUCUUUCGGGGGUGCGGCGGGCGGGUGGGUUGCGCGUGGGAAUAUGAACAUCUCUACGAACUACCCCCGGGAAACGGAGAGUAAUAGCGAAUGCGCCCUUUGGGGGGAAGAUGUAUCGGGGUAGGAUUAGGGCGCGUGGGAUUAGGUAGUUGGUGGGGUGAUGGCCUACCAGGCCGACGACUCAUAGCUGGUGUGAGAGGAUGAGCAGCCACACUGGGACUGAGACACGGCCCAGACUCGUACGGGAGGCAGCAGUGGGGAAUCGUAGACAAUGGGGGCGACCCUGAUCUAGCCAUGCCGCGUGAGUUAUGAAGCCCUUAGGGUUGUAGAGCUCUUUCAGCUGGGAAGAUAAUGACGGUACCAGCAGAAGAAGCCCCGGCUAACUCCGUG